rnacentral:rRNA from 1 species
UACGUAGGGUGCAGGCGUUAAUCGGAAUUACUGGGCGUAAAGCGUGCGCAGGCGGCUCCUUAAGUCAGAUGUGAAAGCCCCGGGCUUAACCUGGGAACUGCGUUUGAAACUGGGAGCUGGAGUGUAGAAGAGGGGGUGGAAUUCCUGGUGUAGCGGUGAAAUGCGCAGAUAUCAGGAGGAACACCGGUGGCGAAGGCGACCAUCUGGACGGAUACUGACGCUGAGACGCGAAAGCGUGGGGAGCAAACAGG